UACGGAGGUGGCAAGCGUUGCUCGGAAUCACUGGGCUUAAAGGGCGCGUAGGCGGCUUUGUAAGUCGGGUGUGAAAUCCCUCGGCCCAACCGAGGAACUGCGCCCGAGACUGCUUCUCUUGAGUCCCGGAGAGGAAGAUGGAAUUCCCGGUGUAGCGGUGAAAUGUGUAGAGAUCGGGAGGAACACCGGUGGCGAAGGCGGUCUUCUGGACGGUGACUGACGCUGAGGCGCGAAAGCGUGGGGAGCAAACGGG
rnacentral:rRNA from 1 species